UUUCGAUAUGUAUGUCUGACGAUUCAGAAUGUUACAUUGAAACUGUUUUUUUGAAAUAAAUGUAUCUUAUUAAAUUAUCAUCACUGUUAUUUUAAUUAAUUGAUCAAGAUAAAGCGAGUUAUUCAGAGUUUGCUUCAAGUGCGGAGAACGACCAAAUCAAAAACAGUAGGCACAGCUUUCUGAUAGGUGGAAUGAAUGGCUUUGCGUACGAAUACUCCGAGUGAUGAGGUCCGGAUAUAAUGUUUUCGUCUGCAAGCUUACGUUGCAGUAAGAACGCAACAUUCGAGAACUUUGGGACAAACAUUCUUUCCGCGAUUGUUUUAUACUUUUCUAUUUUUAUAUGUUUCAUUUCUCAUUGUAGUACAACAGAUCCGUUGUAUGAAGCGUUGUAUACUUUUACCGAAAACGAAUUGGAAAAGAAUUGUCACAACUU